rnacentral:rRNA from 1 species
AGAGUUUGAUCCUGGCUCAGGAUGAACGCUGGCGGCGUGCCUAAUACAUGCAAGUCGAACGAGGUUAGAUUCGUCUAACCUAGUGGCGAACGGGUGAGUAACACGUAGGUAACCUGCCCUUCAGUUGGGAAUACCUAGAGGAAACUUUAGUUAAUACCGAAUAAUUACGAGGAAGGCAUCUUCCUUUUAUAAAAGUAGCAAUUGCUACGCUGAUGGAUGGACCUGCGGCGCAUUAGCUAGUUGGUAGGGUAACGGCCUACCAAGGCUCGGAUGCGUAGCCGACCUGAGAGGGUGAUCGGCCACAAUGGGACUGAGACACGGCCCAUACUCCUACGGGAGGCAGCAGUAGGGAGUUUUCGGCAAUGGGGGGAACCCUGACCGAGCAACGCCGCGUGAACGAUGAAGGUCUUCGGAUCGUAAAGUUCUGUUGCAGCUAGGGAAAGCACGGGAGAGUGGAAAGCUCUCGUUUUGACCCAACUACCAGAAAGCCACGGCUAACUACGUGCCAGCAGCCGCGGUAAUACGUAGGUGGCAAGCGUUAUCCGGAAUUAUUGGGCGUAAAGAGUGAGCAGGCGGCCGUUUAAGUCUGAAGUCAAAUGCAGUGGCUUAACCACUGUCCGCUUUGGAAACUGGAUGGCUAGAGUACGAGAGAAGUAAGCGGAAUUCCAUGUGUAGCGGUGAAAUGCGUAGAUAUAUGGAGGAACACCAGAGGCGAAGGCGGCUUACUAGAUCGAUACUGACGCUCAGUCACGAAAGCGUGGGUAGCAAAUAGGAUUAGAUACCCUAGUAGUCCACGCCGUAAACGAUGGGAACUAGGUGUAGGGCCAAACCCUGUGCCGAAGCUAACGCAUUAAGUUCUCCGCCUGGGGAGUACGUUCGCAAGAAUGAAACUCAAAUGAAUUGACGG